rnacentral:rRNA from 1 species
UACGAAGGGGGCAAGCGUUGUUCGGAUUUACUGGGCGUACAGGGAGCGUAGGCGGUUGGGUAAGCCCUCCGUGAAAUCUCCAGGCUUAACCUGGAAAGUGCAGAGGGGACUGCUCGGCUAGAGGAUGGGAGAGGAGCGCGGAAUUCCCGGUGUAGCGGUGAAAUGCGUAGAGAUCGGGAGGAAGGCCGGUGGCGAAGGCGGCGCUCUGGAACAUUUCUGACGCUGAGGCUCGAAAGCGUGGGUAGCGAACAGG